rnacentral:lncRNA from 1 species
UUAGAAACACACGAGAUCUAUAAAUACACGGCUAAGCAAUUUGUUCCCCUAAUAAAAAUACAAUCAAACUUGUACUUUCAGACCCAAAAUACAUGCCUUAAUUUGGGCUUAAUGCCCAGCCCAGCCCAUAAAAUAAAUAAAAAAAACCUAACCACUCCUUAGAUGUAACUCAGUUUUCUGACUUUCUCUAAUCCUAGCCGCCGCUCAAACAUCUAUCUCUAUCUCUCGCAUUUUUCUUCUUCCUGAGUCCUAAUGAACCACCACCACCACCUUUCCUCUGUGUUUUCUUCCCUCUAUGUUUCUUUUUGUUUUUAAUUUAUUUGACAAAAUCAAUCUCCUCCAUUUGUAAAAGUGAUGUCCAUCUCCUCCAUUUGUAAAAGAACAACGGCAAAAUCAAAGAUGCAGAAGGGAAAGACAAGGAACAACAGCAACUCAUCUUCUCAAGUUAUCAGUUAUCUUCCUUUCACCAAUUUUUUUUCUUUCUAUGUUAUAUUUCUCCUACCCGCGACAUUUUCUUCUAGAUCUCCAUCACCAUAGACAACCUUCAAAAAAAUCACCAUCAUAUAAAGACUCUCAUUGAUAUUCACUACAAAUCUCACAAAGUAAAAAUCCAGAUCGGACUAAUUUUACCGGUGACCACCGCGCCGGAAAUUGCAUCCACCGUGUGGGAAAAUGAAAUCCUUCUAUUUUGUAAAUAUCUUGUGAGUACAUGGUUGGUAUUUGUCGUAUCAUUUUUUUUUUUGUAAAUAUAUUACUUUUGUCUUCUUUCCUUCUCUCAUGCAUACAACAAUAAUAGAGUUUAGAUUUAGAAACUUAACUUUUCUUGUGGUAGCUGUUAAUUUUUUAGAUUUGUUCUGUUUGUGUUUUUUUAGAUCUAUUUGAAUUUUCAAUUUGUAUAUGAAGAGCACUAUAUGUUUUUAUUCCUUUUUGUUUUGUUUGUAUUUUUUUUUGGAUCUGAUUGUAUUUUUCUAUUUUUUUAUAUGAAGUUGUUGCAAAAUUUAAUGAAAGAAAAUCAAAAGGACAAGAAACUUUGAUUGAUUUUUUUGGAUUUGAUUGUAUUUUUUGUUUUAUCUUUUAAAAAUAUAUAGUUUCAUAUUUUUUAAUUUCUCCAUUUUUCUUUGAUUUCGUCAAGAAAUUUAUUUUUAAAUUAUGAUCUUCUUUAUUCAUCU